GACGCACCUAAAGGGCCACACAACAUGAUGUCAGCUAUUUGCAACCCUAAUCUAAUAGCUCGUCAUCCCAUCCCGGAUCUCUAGCCGCCCUCAUCCCCUCACGCCCAAGCCGCCGCCAUCCUACCGUUCCCUCCCGGCGCUCGCCUAGUAGCAUCACCCAGUGGGGCCGACGACGGAAGGCUGUGGCGCCGUGCGGGGCUGCGCCAGGCGAUAAGAUGUACAAGAUGGUCAACUCCAUCUACUUCGACGCCGUCGACUCCUGCCGCUCCUUCUUCGACGACGGUGGUGUCGCGGCAAGAGGCGUCUUCGACUAUUAGGGGGGCUUCUCCCCGAGGACGUCCUCGGAGGAGUGGUCCGAGGUCGCGAUCUGUAGCUUCGGUCAGGCCUCCACGGACCACUUAUCCUUCGACGCAGGCUCGACACCCACCACGACGUCCAACUCCAUCCUGACCGCCUCGAAGUCAAAGCCACCCGAUGAGAUACCCAGCAAGCUGCUGCGGUCGGCGUUCUCGGCUUCCGCCCCACCUCCACCUUCAACGACUCGGCAUCCCAAAGCCAUGAAGGCCCGCAUUCUCGUCAGAGGCUUCGGCAUCCGCCUGCGCCUGUUGACGCUCAGUGUGCCCAAGCCGUUGGUGGAUUUCAGCGACAAGCCCUUGAUCAUGCACUAGGUAUUUAUGGCUGUAAGACAGGCCGUUCAACGAGCACCUCAUUAUCCAGGGUCUCAAUUUAAAUGGCUUGAUUUCUAAAGUCCAAUUAGAUUUCCAGUCAGCAAUCACAUAUUAACUACACAAGCAAAGUCCAGAGAUAUAUUAUGUUCUUUUUUGAAACAAGUUAUUUCUUACAAUACCCUUUUCAUUGUAUUUUUGCUUCGUCUGUCAUGUCACGUUGUGGGCCUGGCUAGCUUCAAUCCUGCUUUUCCUUUUUCAGUUUCGCCUUUUCCAGUGGGCAGUGGUAAUACUUGGCAGAGAAAUCCUGAGCCAAGCGCAAACCUUCUGCAAGACCUGGUAACGUAUUUUAGGGGCUAGAAACAGGCGACGACAGUUUACGCCUUGUUUUUUUAAACCAAUCUAGCCCUGGAUUAGCAAUGAUUUUUUAUGCAGCUUUUGUUUGUUACGACUACUCAUGGCACCAUUUAUGCAUACAUCUGAACUAUUUAUGUUGUUGAUAUGUUUCUAGUGUGGCAAUGAUUUUUUUACAUAUAGAUGCUUACCAAAAGUUCAAAAUCUCUCCGGUCAGUAGCAGUAGAAGCAACACACCCAAUUUGUCAUGAGUUGCGUCAGAAGGGUUUGGUGAGGUGUCACUUUUGGUGUACCCCACCGAGCAAAAAUUAGGGGAAUGUUAAUAUAGCUGAUCUAUUUAUGCGAACCAAGACAAGAAUCACAAAAUUUACACUUAAUUUGUGAAGUUUUCAUGAUUAGUGUUUUUAGUACUAUUUUAUGCAUAUAGUCAGACUUAUCUACAUUUCUUAUGUUCUUUUAUGCUGAUUUGAAUUGGUCCUCACAUGAUCAUGCAUCAGUACCAAAUGAUUCAGACUCAUCUGAUGCUUCUGCUUCCUUACAUGAACAUGCAUCAGUAAGUCAGCCAUCUAGCCCUACUUACUGUAACCAACAUGCAUGAUCCACCUCUGUAAUUUUUAUUUCCUAAAUAUGUCUUUUUAUGCUAAUUUGAAUACGCUAUUAUGCCUAAUUACUAGAUCGCGCGUAUGCUCCGCUUUGUAAACACGUAGACCACCAAAUUAUACAUUUUUAUGUUCUUCCUUUUAUGCUUUUAUACUGAUUUGAAUUGGUCCUCUCAUGAUCAUGCAUCAGUACCCAAUGAUUCAGACUCAUCUAAUGCUUCUGCUUCCUUACAUGAAUAUGCAUUAGCAGGUCAGUCAUCUAGCCCUACUUACUAUAACAAGCAUGCAUUAUCCACCGAUGUGAUUCUUAUUUCUGCUAAUUUAAAUGUGUUAUUAUGCUCAAUUAUCAGAUCUCGUGUACACUCCACGUUGUAAACACGUAGACCACCAAUCCUACAUUGUUUUUGUUCUUCCUAUUAUGCUUUUACGAUGAUUUGAAUUGGUCCUUUUCAGAACAAUGCACCCCCAGUACGUAGUCCACUGUAGAGCAGUAUACGACAUAUACGCCCAGUACCCCUAGUCAUUCGUGGGCAUUGGUAAUAUCACCACACGCUCCCGGAGUCCUGCUGUGAUCCCGCCCGCUGGCCCGACUUCGUCCCUGGGUGCAGGAAUGAGAGGGUAGAGCUGAUAAGCAUAAUACAUGUACGGAUUUAUGCUCGGAUGUGGAGACAAGUAGAAAGUGGUUUGUGGAGCAUUGAGUUGUCUUCAUGAGAUUCAGCCUAUUCAGGUCAUGUACUCAUGUGGCACAGCCUAGAGGACUAACUAACCAAGAAUACUAAAGCACAUAAGAUGUUUAAUUUUCUGAUUUUAAUUUUUGAAUUUCUAUCCAAAUAUAGACUCUUUAGUAUGACAACCUUGCAUUGGUUUCUUUGAUAACAUACUAGACAUGGAUGACUGUUGAAUAUGUUAUUAUAGUCUGGAGAAUCUAAUUGUAUGAUCAUUAUGAAACCUAUGAGUGAUCAUCUUACUAAGAACAAGAUAUUUAAGCAUCAUGUUUCCAUCUAUGUCCAUAUUCAGCAUGUUAAUUUUACCUAUAACACGGGAGAUAACACCAUGUACCUUUUACGGAGAUACUAUUGCAAAAUACAGCCACAGCAUGAAGGACCUUUCUCAACAAAUUGUUGUGCAUCAUCUCAGAAAAUCUGAGCCUGCCACCAUCUUAUAUACAAGAGGCGGUUGGAGAAGUUUUCCAGAACAUUACUAUUAGCUACUAUUCUCCGUGUCCACAACCUGAUCUUGCUCUUGGGUUACAAUCUCAUGAUAAACAAUGCUUGUGGUAGUUUCAAUUCUUUAGUGUUUUUAUGAUUAUAUCUAUAUUGUUUAAUUAUGAACAACUUGUAUCUGAAUCUGAAUGUAACAGAUUACUAAAUUUUACGACA